AUGCAAUUAUGGUUUGCUUCUGCAGUUAUGUUUAAGGUCUAGGAUGCGUGUUCGACAACGACUUCAACUUUUAACCCCGUCCUCUUUCUCAACGGAUCUGCGAUUUCAAUGAUCUGAUUCAAACGCGAGGUGAGAUUUGAUUCAAAUGAAGGCGUUCUUAUGGUUAUCGGUGAGGUGGAGCUUCGUAGCUGUCGGAUAUGAGGAACUGGUAAGAGUCACUUGAGGUGGUGGUACCAUGGUGGUUUUAGGCGGUGGUGGAGAUGGGAAGAUGGUGGUGGUGGUUCAUUGAAAUAUAGAUGGGAGAGACAAAACUGAGAUAGAGAGAUAGAGGAGGAAAGAGAACUAAGGUCAGGGUUGUUUAUUUGCUU
rnacentral:lncRNA from 1 species